GGUGCCACAGAUGGGAGAGGUGUGAAUAGCUUAGAAUUAGGCCAAACAGCCCAGAGUCCAAACAAGCUGAAGGGAAGUGAAGGUGAUUAUGAGUGUGUGACUCAACCAGGGCCACGCGACAAUGAGCAAGCAUGUGAAGCACAUUUAUCGGGUGCUAAACUUAGAUUUAAGUGAAAACAAAAAUGUGAACCAUAGAGCUUCCGUUCACCUUAUCUCAGUUUCCCCUGCGUCGCACUAGAGGUCGCCUCCAGCGGCGGAGGAGCCUCAAUGUCCAAAAUUGAUACAUCAUCUUAUUCAGUUCAACAUCCUAAAUCCAAAUAUCAUCAUGACAAAAACUAAUUCCUAAAGAAUGGCCUGAAUCAAAGCAGAUAAAGGAAGAAACCUAUCCUAAACUGAAAUUAAAUCUUUCUCCCUCGGAAUUAAAGCCCUGGGGGUUAGGGAUUUGUUCCCCUAACCAUAAUCUAUAUCAUGGUAGAAAAGACGAAAGGAAUCGAGAAUAAAAAAUACCUCCGAAGCUGAGAAUUGCUCCGGCGAGUCGUUGAAUCAGAGAAGACGCUUUCUGCGAUGGAAAAUCACUUGAAUCAGGUUUGCUUAGCAUUGAGGAUUUGGUCAUGGAUGAAGGCAUGACUCCAAUGGACAUGAGCUUGAAGAUCAAGAUGAUGUGGACUUAGGAAAAGGUUGUUGACUUUGGUCAACUAGUUGACCAAAAAGUCAAUAUUUGACCAAAUUCAACUGCAGGUUUUAGACUAGGGUUUUCUUGUUUGUAUUUGUAUGAACUUGUAAAAAUGUACCCAUGACUUGUAAUGUGGAGAAUUUCUUACAAUGAAUAAACUUGGUUUCCAAUGAAACAUAACUUUAUGACUUA